AGCGAGUGUAAUGAGAUUGAGGAACCUGCGAGGAAAAUUCAACAUGUUCAACGCACGGAUGGUAGAGGAGGAAUGGGUUCCAUCUCAAUUGAACAGAUCCCCCUCGACGACCUGGAGGAUAUCCUCUUAGAAGUAGCCAUGGGCGUAAAUUACAGGGGGGAUGGGGGGGUUGUAGCCCCCCCCAAUAAAUCAAAAC